rnacentral:rRNA from 1 species
CCUACGGGGGGCAGCAGUCGAGAAUCAUUCACAAUGGGGGAAACCCUGAUGGUGCGACGCCGCGUGGGGGAAUGAAGGUCUUCGGAUUGUAAACCCCUGUCAUGUGGGAGCAAAUUAAAAAGAUAGUACCACAAGAGGAAGAGACGGCUAACUCUGUGCCAGCAGCCGCGGUAAUACAGAGGUCUCAAGCGUUGUUCGUAAUCACUGGGCGGAAAGCGUGCGUAGGCUGUUUCGUAAGUCGUGUGUGAAAGGCGCGGGCUCAACCCGCGGACGGCACAUGAUACUGCGAGACUAGAGUAAUGGAGGGGGAACCGGAAUUCUCGGUGUAGCAGUGAAAUGCGUAGAUAUCGAGAGGAACACUCGUGGCGAAGGCGGGUUCCUGGACAUUAACUGACGCUGAGGCACGAAGGCCAGGGGAGCGAAAGGGAUUAGAUACCCUAGUAGUC